rnacentral:rRNA from 1 species
AUUGAACGCUGGCGGCAGGCUUAACACAUGCAAGUCGAGCGGAAGAAGGGAGCUUGCUCCUGGAUUCAGCGGCGGACGGGUGUGUAAUGCCUAGGAAUCUCCCUGCUAGUGGUUGAUAACGUCCGGAAACGACCGCUAAUACCGCAUACGUCCUGAUCGAGAAAGAUGGGGAGCUUCUGACCUCUCGCUAUCUUAUGAUCCUAGGUCGGAUUAGCUAGUUGGUGGGGUAAAGGCCUACCUAGCCGACGAUCCGUAACUGGCCUGCGAGGCUGAUCAGUGACACUAGAACUGGAACGGGGACCAGACUCCUACGGGACGCAGCAGUGGGGAAUAUUGGACAGUGGGCGGGAGUAUGGUACAACGGUGGCACGUGUGUGGAGAAGAUCUUCGGAUUGUGAAGCCCUUUAAGUUGGGGGGAAGGGCAUUAAGUUAAUACCUAGCUGUUUUGACGUUACCGGCAAAAUAAGCACCGGCUAACUACGUG